UUUCGGUUUUGUUCUAGGCAAUUUUGAAAGCUUUUUGCCAUCAUCAUUGUAGUUGUUCGUGUGCAUCGCUCUCGCGUGCAUUUUAAUUUGUGUUGGAAAAGGGGUGCGGGUGCGGAGUGCGGGUGCUGUGUAGAGAGAACUAUUUUGUCUGUUGACUUCAAACAAAAAUUGUAAAUUUUGACAAGACUUGACCAGAAUGACCCAAACCCAAACAGACCGCAAUAGGACCGUUUGGUGGCCGUUCGCGUACGUUCUUUUAUUCCCUCCCACAUUCACUCGAUGGGCCAUCAGAUGUGAACGACGGGUUUCAUGACCAUUUGGGAUGGAGAAUUAGUGGAUGGAUUGUUGGCUGCGAUCUGUGAACGAUGAACAAAGCUAGAGGGA